rnacentral:rRNA from 1 species
AGAGUUUGAUCAUGGCUCAGAACGAACGCUGGCGGCAGGCCUAACACAUGCAAGUCGAAGGAGAAGCACCUUUCGGGGUGUGGACACUGGCGCACGGGUGAGUAACGCGUGGGAAUCUACCCCGGGGUGGGGAAUAACUGCUGGAAACGGCAGCUAAUACCGCAUACGCCGUAUUGGGAAAGCUUUAGCGCCCUGGGAUGAGCCCGCGUUAGAUUAGUUUGUUGGUGGGGUAACGGCCUACCAAGACUACGAUCUAUAGCUGGUCUGAGAGGAUGAUCAGCCACACUGGGACUGAGACACGGCCCAGACUCCUACGGGAGGCAGCAGUGGGGAAUAUUGGACAAUGGGGGCAACCCUGAUCCAGCCAUGCCGCGUGCGUGAAGAAGGCCUUAGGGUUGUAAAGCGCUUUCACUGGUGAAGAUGAUGACGGUAGCCAGAGAAGAAGCCCCGGCUAACUCCGUGCCAGCAGCCGCGGUAAUACGGAGGGGGCAAGCGUUGUUCGGAAUUACUGGGCGUAAAGGGCGCGUAGGCGGAAUAUCAAGUUAGGGGUGAAAGGCCCGGGCUCAACCUGGGAACGGCCUCUAAAACUGAUAAUCUUGAGUCCGGAAGAGGAUGGCGGAAUUCCCAGUGUAGAGGUGAAAUUCGUAGAUAUUGGGAAGAACACCGGUGGCGAAGGCGGCCAUCUGGUCCGGAACUGACGCUGAGGCGCGAAAGCGUGGGGAGCAAACAGGAUUAGAUACCCUAGUAGUCC